UUGAACAAGUCAGGUGACCAGAGACUAACGCCAAUGAUGGAGAUCUGGCUGGUGAGGAAUCAUUUGUUUUGGAGUCGGAGCCAAGACUGAAUUCCCGGGGAUUUCUGGCGCGAUCGCGUCCAAGUGUCUGGUGUGUAAGGCUCUUCAGUCUGCCCUGAAGCUCAGAGGGCUUCGACAGUACAGAUGCUAGAGGCCUCUGCGAGCAAAGGCGGCGCUGGCCCAGGGGUUCAGGUUCCUGCGAGCGUUGGCCCAUGGCGCUUCCGGAUGCGCUGUCCGGAUCCCCGCCGGACACUUCUGCCCCCGCGGCCCUCUAGUUGGUUCACCAGUUUGCGUUUGAUUCCUGCGCAUUUCUUAUGUGUUAGGCAUAAUAAUAAAGGGUGGGGCAAGCCUCCCCAACUGAGAGAGAUCUCUUUGCCGGAGAACCUGGGGCCUCAACCAGCUCAUGGGACUGUUACCUUCAGCCCGUUGCUAUCCCUAGCUUCUGUAAAACUGCUGGCUUGUACUAAGACCUUUUCAUUCCUGGCUACACAUGAAUUCCCAGAGGAGAGAAUGGGCGCGGAGGAGCUUUAGAAACACCCGUGUCUGAUACCUUCGAAGAUUCUGAUUUAACUGAUCUGUGGUGGGGCCUGGGCAAUGGCACUUGUAUAAAUUAUGCAGGUGAAGCAGGUUUAAGAACCACUGCACUCAAUGAUUUGGAUGAUAGGUACUAUUUAGCAUCUAGAA
rnacentral:lncRNA from 1 species